rnacentral:tRNA from 2 species
GCGGGUGUAGUUCAAUGGUAGAACUCCAGCUUCCCAAGCUGACAACGCGGGUUCGAUUCCCGUCACCCGCU